rnacentral:rRNA from 1 species
AUGAUGACUCUCGGCAAUGGAAAUCUCGGCUCUUGCAUCGAUGAAGAACGUAGCAAAAUGCGAUACCUGGCGUGAAUUGCAGAAUCCCGUGAGCCAUCGAGUCUUUGAAUGCAAGUUGCGCCCGAGGCCACCCGAUCGAGGGCACGCCUGCCUGGGCGUCACUC